rnacentral:rRNA from 1 species
UACGAGGGGGGCAAGUGUUGUUCGGAAUCACUGGGCGUAAAGGGAGCGUAGGCGGGCGCUUAAGUUGGAUGUUUAAAGCAGGGGCCUAACCCCUGUUGUGCAUCCAAAACUGGGCGUCUUGAAUGGGACAGAGGCCGGUGGAAUUGGAGGUGUAGCGGUGGAAUGCGUAGAGAUCUCCAAGAACACCCGUUGCGAAGGCGGCCGGCUGGGUCCACAUUGACGCUGAGGCUCGAAAGCGUGGGGAGCAAACAGG